rnacentral:lncRNA from 7 species
UCAGUCCGUCGACGGCUCCCGUUCCUGGUCGGUGGUGUGGGGUCCUCCUCCAGUGUCAGGAUAUCUUGUUCUCUCUGGCAGUAUGGCAUUCUUCAGUUUGUCAGGUGAAGCGGGAGUGCUGUCUGUUGGUUUGUAGUUUCAACAGGUGGUCGUUCAGAAGUGUGGCAUUUCUGUGCGGGUUAAGAAGCCCACUGUGAAUUUUGCAGCUCUUCAGGUAUGUGGGAAGAAACAGAAAGGUUCGUGUCCUUGAGAGGCUUGAAUGCUUGCUUUGAGUUGAAGGUGGUCAUCCAAAGAGUGAAGCGUGGAGCUGUUGUAGUGCAUAGCUGCCAUCUUCUUCUGGAGAGCGUGGACAAUAAAUGUGCUAAACCCUUUGUGUUGCUUGUGGUGUUGUGUCAUUGAACCAUAGAAUCCCAGGGCUGGAAGGGAUCUGCAAGAUCCUCUAUUUGACGCGGUCCUUCCAUUUCUGUUGCUACCACAGGCUGCUAACCCAUUUCUCCUUGCUCCUCCUGCUGAUGCCUCUCAAACAGUGCCAGGGACAGUGACUCCAGUUGGCAGGGCAUUGCAGCUCUUCACCCGGCUUUGACAGAAGGAGUUUUUUCUUCUGCAUAUUUUAAAUGCACUCUGGUAGGAUUUGUGGCAUUUCCUCAGGUCUUGUUUGUUGCUUGUGUGAAGAGGCCAAACUUCCUCCAAGCUUCUGCUCACAACAUCCGUGCAGUCUGUUGUGGAACGAUGAAGUUCUCUGUGGGACUCCUGUUUUCUGGACUGAAUUAUUGUAUGUCUUUCAGAUGCUCCUUAUAAGACUUGUGGUUCUGACCCAUCACAAGUUUUGUUGCCAUCAUUGGGAGAUGUUCAGGGUCACAUAUGUCUUUGUUGCAGCAAGGGGCCUGAAACUGAACAGAGCAGUACAGGUGCAGUCUCACCAGUUGUGAGCACAGCAAGUUAUUACCUCCCCGCUCCUGGUGGCCACAGUGUUUGCCAUGCUGGCCAGGAUGCGUUUGGCCCUGUUUGCCACCUGGGCCCAUUUUCAGCUCUUGUACAGCUGAGCAUUAACUCGUACCCCCAGCAGCCUUUACUUUUCACAUACAUUAAGUGUGGCUUCAUGUGCCAUGUAGAGUCAUGUUGACUGUAUUUUGUAAUUUCAGCUCUGGGGUUGAUGCUAACAUGUUUUGAUUUUUUGGUGUAAUAAUCCUAGA